GCUGUGCAAGUUGUGCACCGUGCAAGGCUGCAAUGCAUGCUGUGCACCACGCAGGCAGUAUUGCACGCACAAUGCACACCAUUGCAAGCCAUGCUCACACUCCACACACGCGCCAUGCAGCAUUGCACACCAUGCAGCGUUGCACGCAGCACUGCACAGCACUGCACACCAUGCAGCGCUGCACACCACUGUGCACACACCAUGCACACCAUCCAGCAUUGCACACCAUGCACGCACACCUCACACAGCAUGCACACACUAUUGCACAACAUGCAACCUUGCACACCACGCACGCACACCACGCACACCAUGCCCUCACCAUUGCACACCAUGCAGCAGUGCACACCAUGCACACACACCUCGCACACCAUGCACACACCAUUGCACACCAUUGUGCACACACCACUGCACACCACACAGCAUUGCACACACCAUUGCACACAGCAUGCAGCGCUGCACACCACUGUGCACACACCAUGCACACCAUGCAGCAGUGCACACAAUACACACCAUGCACACACCAUGCAGUGCUGCACACCAUUGUGCACACACCAUUGCACACCAUGCAGAGCUGCACACCGGGCACACACACAAUGCACACCACGCACACCAUGCAGCGCUGCACACCAUGCAUGCACACCUCACACACUGUGCACACACCAUUGCACACCAUGCGGCACUGCACACCAUGCACACGCCAUGCAGGGCUGCACACCACUGUGCACACACCACUGCACACCAUGCAGCAUUGCACACCAUGCACGCACACCACGCACACUAUGCAUCGUUGCAAACCAUGCAUGCACACCAUGCACACCAUGCACACACCAUUGCACACCAUGCAUCAUUGCACACCAUGCACACACACCACGCACACUGUGCAGCACUGCACACCAUGCACACACGCCAUGCACACCAUGCACACACCAUGCAGCGCUGCACACCACUGUGCACACACCACGCACACCAUGCAGCACUGCACACCAUGCACACACACCACGCACACCAUGCAGCAGUGCACACCAUGCAGCACUGCACACCAUGCACACACACCACGCACACCAUGCGCACACCAUGCAGCGCUGCACACCACUGUGCACACACCACGCACACCAUGCAGCACUGCACACCAUGCACACACACCACGCACACCAUGCAGCAGUGCACACCAUGCAGCACUGCACACCAUGCACACACACCAC
rnacentral:lncRNA from 1 species